CCUGUCGAACUUCAUCAAGCUCGAUUUUAAAGGCACUUAUUCCUUUACUAAGAUUUUUUUUUUAAAAAAAAUUAUCUUACUGCUGACAAACACCUUUUGUUCAGCAGGCAGAUAAAAGAAAUAUCUCCUCAUUUUCUUAAGGGACCCUACAAAAUUAUACUUAUCAGACUUAGGAUUGAGCUUGUUAGUUUGUAAUCGUUUAACAUAAGCUGGACACCCCCAGACCCUAAAGUAAGAGAGGUUCGGCCUACGUCCUGACCAUAUCUCAUAUGCUGUCUUAUUAACUGACUUGCUCAGAAUAUUAUUGAGCAUAAGAUAGGCCAUUUCAAGUGCAUAUCUCCAAAAAG
rnacentral:lncRNA from 1 species